CUCAAUGUUUCCAGAAGACUCAAUUCCGUCUUUGUUCCUUUCUCCGACUUUCCUUUCACAAUCAAUCGUACAACUUCUUCUCUUUCUUCGUCAAGCUCUCAAACACCACUCCAAUCUUAGAUCCGAACAGCAACAAGAACACUAACUUCUCAACGUAUAAUGCUUGUACUGCUCAUUUUGCACAAUAUCUAUCUAGAAUCAUUAAUUUGUGUCAUUCUUAUGUUUUUUUUAUCUAAGCCUACAGAGGAGCUCUCUUCCUUUUUGCUUUUAGUUUUAUCUAACAAAAAUUUAUAAGCAUAAGAAUGCGGACAAGCAAAAAGAGCUAAGUGGUGAUAUAACUAUUGUAUACAUUAAAGCAGAAGAUGAAAUCUUUCCCGAGGUGUUUGUGAAAAUUCUCCAAUGAAGCAGCCUCUUCAACUACAAUAUUCUUAUGUAGCGACUCAUUCAUUUCUCCGGAAGAAGGAAAUUAAACGAGAUAGUGUCACAUUAUGAUUGAGUAAAACAAUAUUGUUAUUAGAUUACAAAAUGACCAGGAGGUUGUGAAACAAAUUCCUCACAAAUGGGACUCUCAAUUUAAACAGAAGCUUAAUGACUAAAUGGAAAGUCACAAGGAAAAGGAGAAUAAUAGAGGCUUAAUUGCUACUUUGGCUGGUUUGCGGGUUUCCUUUUGGUUGUGUUUUGUUUCACCCAAGGAUCUUCCAAGUUUAAUACAAACCUGGUUGAGAAAGGAUGUGAAGCAAUCACUUCCUCAUGCACUCAAACAGCUUCAAGGGUCAGAAUCGAAACAAGUUAGGUUAUACCAUGGCGUUAUCGAGUUUCAAUAGCCGCACGAGGGAAACUUGCAAGCUAUUCCUAUAUAAGAAGUCACUGUAGUGUAGAAGCAGACAAGAGACUGGGGACAUGCCACUCCUGCUUAUCUAAUGGGCAAUUUUGUCAUUUUUAGCUGCUUUGUGAUGCAACUGAUCCACCUGAAUCUCUUCCUUAUCCAUUUUCAGUUGCAUCUCCUUGCUGUUUGGUUGUAAUUGAUCGACUUUUACUCUGCUUGAUAUCUCAACUGAAUUAAUAAAGGGUUAAUUACUGUUGCUGCUGGUUUAUAGUGAGUUCCUCUCGCCAUGUUUUGCUUCUGCCAAGAUAUAUACAGUAUUUGGACCAAGGUUACUGGGUUCAACCGAAUCUGUACCUUGGUCUCUAGCUCCACCCAUGGCCAGCCUCAUGAACAUUGCUGACAACCCAACAAAACAACAACCUAUAAGCAGCUCGUUCUUAGGCACAUUGUCAAAAAGUAUUUCACCCGAAUCCUUCAUCUGUGCAUAGACCAUCGGAGUUGUUGAAAGGCAGACCUCACAACAUCGACCUUAUCCUGACAGAAGUUGACCUGCCAUCAAUCUCUGGAUACUCUCUUCUUACCUUGAUUAUGGAGCAUGACAUAUGCAAGAACAUUCCUGUACUAAUGAUGUCCUCAAACGACUCAGUUAGUACAGUUUAUAGAUGCAUGCUGAAAGGUUCAGUUAGUACAGUUUAUAGAUGCAUGCUGAAAGGUGCAGCAGACUUUCAUGUCAAGCCUGUUAAAAAGAAUGAAUUGAAUAACUUGGGGCAGCACGUCUGGAGGACACGAUCUGCAAGUGAAGUUCCCAGGAGCCUCUUGAUGAAAGUGUUGCACAACCAAAGGUUGAGGCCACAGCUGAAAACAAUGCUUGCAGCAACCAUUCCAGUGGUUAUAAGGCUUGCGUUCAGAGAAACCGGGAAUGCAUUGAGAAACGAAGUGAUGCUCAGAGCUCAUGCACAAAGCCAGAGUUGGAGAAUGAAGAAGAUAAUGCAGAAGACUUACUGGAAUCUACUCAACCAAAUAGGAAUGCAUCUCUUCCAAAUGCUGCAGAGUUGGAGAUGGAACUACUUUACGAAGCAAGUAAUAGAUUGAGAAUGUCCGAGAAUGAUGCUAGAGCUCCCAUAAAAGAUGCAAAUGCAAUGGUUAGUUUUAUUGCUUGAGAUGUACUGGAUCACUCUCUUUUAUAUCUUCUUUUGGGGGAAAGAUAUAUUGAGCCGAGGGUCUAUUGGAAACAACUUCUCUACCCCACAAAGAUGAGGAUAAGGUCUGCAUACAUCUUAACCUCCCUAGAUCCCACUUGUGGGCAUGCCAUUGACUUGAUCGGAGCAUUUGACUGCAUCGGUCUUCUAUAUCUGUUCAUGCAAUUGAUCAUUCUUCAUCCAGUGAGAUGCUUCUAUUUCCUUAGAGCACGUACCAGCCUAGCAACAUGAGGUGCAAAAGGACACAAGGUUUCCUCGCUCGAUACGCAUCUUUCACUUGAUCUUUUACCUGUUGGCCGAAUAGGCCACAUUCUCAUAAAAAUAGCAUUAUUGCUAGGCGGUUUCACUUUGUUAAUAUCUGUGUGUCAAUGGUAUUAAUAUUUCACAACAAUCCAGCUACUUUGCCAAUAGGUAUGUAAAUGUUUAUACAACAUUUUUAAACCAAAGAGAUACAUACAGUGGUAUGAAUGAAACCAACAAUGUAAUUCUUACAAUUUUACAAAUGCAUAUUCAUUCUGAUA